UAUAAAAUCAUUCCAUUAUAUUGACAAUUUCAAAAAACUGUUCAUACUAUUAUGAACGUAGUAUAAUGGCGGU
rnacentral:tRNA from 1 species